GAAUCCCUGGCGCAGUGGUAGCGCGUGUGAUUCCAGCCGAAGCUAUCACGCUUCUUGAGGAAGUCCACAAGGUCAUCCGUUCAAUCCGGGUGGGAUUCA